CUUCUUUGCCGGCUUCAUUGCUGGACUGGAGUCAGGGGUUUGUUGGAGCCACAGCAGAGCAGCUGGAGACGUGAAGUACUCUGCUCUGACAUCCACUUCCUGUGUAAAUCAUCUGAAUAUCAUCAACCACUGUCACAGAGAAAUAUUCUGCCCUUUACACCACUACUGGAUACUGGAUACUGACCUUAGCCACACAUGAGAACACUGAAUAAAAGGGAUCACUUUCCAGCUCUGGAAGCUCUCCAUGUCUCACCUGUUGCUUUUUUCUUUUCUCUUUAAGUUAAAUAAACACCUCUCUUUUGUAACUCUGUCAUGUGUCCCCAGUUUAUGUUACAGCCCUCUUUUGAACUUUCUUUAUUUGCAUUUGAAGAUGCAACAAAUGUAAAACCUCAUGUAAGUCAGAGGAGCCAUGAGUCCAUAAUGAAUGUGGCUCUGGAACCGCAUGCAGCCCUUUUGCCCCUCUCCUGUAGCUUCCUGUGG